AAAAAUGAUGGUUUUGUAGCUUGAGCUGCUUUCGAGUGGCUCGCUUCAAAACUUAUUCACCCUUGUGCAUCGUAAUGUUUUUUGGGUCGGUUUUACGACUGGCCCAGCAUUUUUAUAAACACCUUUUAAUUUUGACUGAAUUUUUUUGAAAAUAAAAAAUAA
rnacentral:misc_RNA from 1 species